AUUAUAGGAAAAAAAGGAUGUCUAGGUACUUUAAGACGAUGAAGGACGUAAAAAAUAUAUAUAUACGAAAAACUUAUUUAUAGCUUAUAUACUUUAAAUAAGAUCUCCGAAUAGGGAAACCUUUUAAUAUUUUUUAAAUUAAAAAUGAUUUACUUGAGGAACUGAAUCAUCUUAGUACUCAAAGGAAAAGAAAAUAACAAUUAUUCCCUUAGUAGUGGCGAACGAGUAGGGAUAAGAAACGUUAGACGUUUAGUUUAAAUAAAAAUAAAAUAAAGUAAAUAUAAACAACUGGUUUAUAUUGAAGAAACAAGAACUUCCUUGUAAAACUAAAUACUUUAAAGUAACCGAUAGUGUACUAGUACCGUGAGGGAAAGAUGAAAAGAACCCCGGGAGGGGAGGGAAAAGAGACUGAAAUUUUAAUCCUAACAACAAUAGAAGGGUAUAUGAACCUAACUAUUUGCCUAUAUGAACCUAACUAUUUGCCUGUUGAAGAAGGAACCGAUAAGUUUUGGUUUUUAAGCAAAAGGCUAAAAUUAAACUUGAAGCCAUAGUGAAAACGAGUUAUUACAAUUAGUAAUAGCGUUUGUAUAUAACCAAAAACCCGAAUCCAAUUGAUAUAACCUUGUUCAGAAUGAAAUAUAAAUAACUUUAUAUAGAAGUUCGAACUGAUUAAUGCUGCAAAAUUAUCAGAAGAAAUGAGGUUAGUUGUGAAAUGCUUGUCGAAUUUGGAGCUAGCUGGUUCUCCCCGAAAUGUAUUGAGGCGCAGCUAUUAUAAUAUAUAUAAAAAGGGUAAAGCACUGUUUUUAAAAUCACUAUAAACUAAUAAUAUUUUUAUAUUAACAUUAUAAUAAGUGAGACUUUUAGGGAUAAUCUUAUAAGUCAAAAGGGAAACAACCCAGACCAUAAACUAAGAUAAAAAUAUAACGAAAAUUUUAAAGGAUGUGGAGUUGUUACGUAUACAACCAGAAGGUUAGCUUAGAAGCAGUUUUCCUUUAAAAAGUGCGUAAAAGCUUACUGGUAAAGUAAUUCUGCACCUAAAAUGAACAAUAAAAUAUUUUUUUAAGUGCGUAAAAGCUUACUGGUAAAGUAAUUCUGCACCUAAAAUGAACAAUAAAAUAUUUUUUUAUCGAAGUAAUGGGAUCUAUUAAUUAAAAAUAGAUCGGUAGGGGAGCGUUCUACAUUUUUUUUUAUCGAAGUAAUGGGAUCUAUUAAUUAAAAAUAGAUCGGUAGGGGAGCGUUCUACAUUAAAAUAAAGCAAAGUUAUUAAAUUUUGUGAAUAAAGUAGAAGUGAGAAUGUCGGUUUAAGUAACUUAAAUAUUAAGAAGAAUCUAAUACCUCAAAAACUCAAAAGGUUCCUAUGAAAGGAUAAACCGCAUAGGGUUAGUCGGGGCCUAAGAUAAGAAAUUUAUUGUAAUUGAUGGGAAUCAAGUUAAUAUUCUUGAACCAUAUUUAUAUAGUAUACAAGUAGUGACCUAAAUAUAAAUUCUAAGUAAUAUAAUAAAUGAUUUUUACUUAGAAAUAAAAUUUUUGCUAGAAAAAUGAUAUUGUAUAAUUAUAGAUAUGCCCGUACUAAAACUGACACAAGUGAGUAGGUACUAUAACGUACUAAGAGGACGAAAUAAAUUUCUUUAAGGAACUCGGCAAAACAAUCCUGUAACUUCGGGAUAAAGGAUGCCUAUAAGGCUGCAAUUAAAAAGUUCAAGCGACUGUUUAUCAAAAACACAGGUAUCCGCAAAAUGUAAUUAUGAAGUAAGGAUACUGACACCUGCCCAGUGCUAGUAAGUUAAAAAAAAUUUUUAUGUUAUACAAAUAAUUUUUUUAUAAGCUCUAGUAAACGGCGGCUGUAACUAUAACGGUCCUAAGGUAGCGAAAUUCAUUGUCGGGUAAGUUCCGACCCGCACGAAAGGUGUAACGACUUGAACACUGUCUUUAAGAAAUAUUCGGUGAAAUAGAAAUGUUUGUAAAGAUACAGACUUUUUACAUCAGGACAGAAAGACCCUAUGAAGCUUUACUGCAAUUUGAAAUUGAAAUUAAAUUUUAUUUAUAUAGUGUAAGUGGGAAGUUUAUACUAUUAAUGAAACACCACUUUAAUAAAUUUUAAUUUCUAACUAUAAUUUUUUUAUCAUAUUAUAUAAAAAUUUCAAAAAGGUAGUUUGACUGGGGCGGUUGCCUCCUAAAGAGUAACGGAGGUGCACAAAGGUCUUUUAUUUUAAUAAAAAUAAAAUAUUAAAAUUAAUAAAUGUAAAGGUUAAAUAAUAAGAAGGCUUGAUUGUGAGAGUAACUACUUAAACAAGGACGAAAGUCGGUCUUAGUGAUCCGACAACUCUAAGUGGUAGGAUUGUCGCUUAACGGAUAAAAGUUACUCUAGGGAUAACAGGCUGAUCUCUCCCGAUAGUCCAUAUUGACGGGGAGGUUUGGCACCUCGAUGUCGGCUCGUCGCAUCCUGAGGCUGUAGCAGGUCUCAAGGGUUGGUCUGUUCGCCCAUUAAAGCGGCACGGGAGCUGGGUUCAGAACGUCGUGAGACAGUUCGGUCCGUAUCCGAUGUAAACGUAAGAAUAUUGUGAGCUGGGUUCAGAACGUCGUGAGACAGUUCGGUCCGUAUCCGAUGUAAACGUAAGAAUAUUGUAAAGUAUUUCCUUUAGUACGAGAGGACCAAGGAGAUUAAACCUAUAGUAGUUCAGUUAUUUUAUCAUAAGUAUUUUACUGAGUAGCUAAGUUUAAUAAAAAUAACUACUGAAAGCAUAUAAGUAGGAAAAAACUUUAAGAUUAAUAUUCUGUUCAUAAGAUUGAGUAAGAAUUUAAAAAGAACAUUUAUUAA
rnacentral:rRNA from 1 species